rnacentral:rRNA from 1 species
CCUACGGGUGUCAGCAGUGGGGAAUAUUGCACAAUGGGGGCAACCCUGAUGCAGCGACGCCGCGUGAAGGAAGAAGUAUUUCGGUAUGUAAACUUCUAUCAGCAGGGAAGAAAGUGACGGUACCUGACUAAGAAGCCCCGGCUAACUACGUGCCAGCAGCCGCGGUAAUACGUAGGGGGCACGCUUUAUCCGGAUUUACUGGGUGUAAAGGGAGAGUAGGCGGCGAGGCAAGUCAGAAGUGAAAGCCCGGGGCUCAACCCCGGGACUGCUUUUGAAAAUGUAUGGCUAGAUUGCAGGAGAGGCAAGUGGAAUUCCUAGUGUAGCGGUGAAAUGCGUAGAUAUUAGGAGGAACACCAGUGGCGAAGGCGGCUUGCUGGACUGUAAAUGACGCUGAGGCUCGAAAGCGUGGGGAGCAAACAGGAUUAGAUACCCCUGUAGUC